ACCCGACCCAACCCACGGAAUUCUCCAUCCCAAAGCCUCUUACAAUGAUAUAGCUGUCAUAAAAUUAGAGCUUGUGGAUAAAUAUAAGAGACUAGCACCUCCUACCGUCUUCUCUUUAAAUCAACUAUGCCCCUUUAAAGGUUGAAAGGGCGUCGAUCAACACGUUCAGUGCUCAGCACACACACCAUUGCGGCAUUGUACGUUUCCACCAGCACCUUCCCAAAACCCAUAUCCCAAGCUAUCUUCAACCCAUCAACUAAAUAACCCAAGACUGGAAUAGCUUUUUCUUGCUCAAAUUUAGCAUUCUUAUUCAGGAAUUUAUUCACCUAGGCAUCGAGACGGCCUGAAUUUUAAGAUCAGAAAUUUUGGGGUCUUAUAUCAUUGAAGAUAGAAGAUCUACUUCAAGCUACAUCAAUUUUUUCUUAGAGGCAAGUCCUUAUACCUCGGAGCAAAACGGAAUAAUUGAAAGGAAUCACAACAGGUAGAAGAUGGAUUAACUUUGUUAGCUCAAGCCUCAUUACCUCUGUCAUAUUGGUCAGAUGCAUUCAAUACCGCAGUCUAAUUGAUUAACAGGCUUCCCACCAAAGCUUUGGAUGGACUGACUCCUCAUCAGAAGCUUUAUUCUUGCAUACCAGACUAUUCACGACUCAGGGUAUCUGGAUGCUUACGCUUUUCUCACUUGCGUCCAUUCAACAAUCACAAAUUACAGUGCUGGUCAGCACCUUGUACUUUUCUUAGUUUCAGCUCUUUACAUAGAGGAUAUAAGUGUCUUGAUGCAAAUGAGAGAACAUUUAUAUCUUGACAUGUACUGUUUGAUGAGAUUCCAAUCAAUUAAGCUAUGGCUGCUAUUAUUGAAUCUCUUGAACCAAAAGAGAAUGACUCUAGCAAUGGUGGCGAAGGGGUGAAUGGCAGCGUGGAAGUGUCCUUGUCGACGGGCUUUUCAGCCUAGUGACAGAUGAAUUCGGCCUGCAAAUUGUUGUUCAGGCUCCAAAGGAAAUGGAAAAUCUAUUGCAUCUAUUCUCGAUAGUUUAGGUUCUGGUUUAAGCAGUUUAAUGAGUUGUGUAAUUUUUAUGUUAUGUUUUGAUUAAAACCUUUUCUCUACCAAAAAAAAGAAAAAAAGAAAAACUCAGCUAAA